ensembl:lncRNA CTBP1-DT CTBP1 divergent transcript
CAAGCGGCAGGCCCUUGUUGAGCAAGUGCGAGCUGCCCAUCGAGAGGCGCGAGCGGCCGCGGGCCCCGACCACUCCGGCGCGCUGCGCCGCCGCGAGCCCGGCGCGUGGGGCGGCCUCGGCGCCGUCCGCUGCUCCGCCCGCCCGCCUGCGCCUGGCCGCCGCCGUGCCGAGUCUCCGCCGCGCCGCUGAGCCGCGCUCCGACGACCGCGCGGGCGGGGACACGGCGGCGCGCGCGGGCGGGGCCUCGCGGUUGGUCUCCUGGUUCCCAGCGCGGGCGGCGCACGGACUCACGCGGGCGGCUCAGGGCCCGCCCGGCCGGGACGCGGCUGCGGGGCGGGGCGGGGCGGGAGCCUGGCGGGAAGCUCGCGGGGCUGCAGCCCGGCGGAGGCCCCGGGCCUGGUGUUCCGCACGUUCUAAACCGCCUGUCCCCGAGGAAGUCGGGCAGGGUCGGGCCGGACUCAGCGCCGCUGGCGGGAGCGCCGUCCGCCCCGAGGACCCUGCGGGCCCGGAAGCCGAGACAGGGCCGCCCACGUCAGCGCCUGGCGCGGGCCCGAACGUAAAUGGCGCUCCUCCGCGCCGCAGCCGCAGCCGCCCCGCUCCCUUCCCGCUCCGCCAGCUGCCGCCCUCCCGCGCUCGCUUCUCGCCCCGCGGCCUGGCCCGUGCGCCUCCGAGGCUGGCCAGGGGCACCGAGGCCGCGGGCCCCCCAUCGCCCCCACCCGAGCCCUGAUUUACCGUCCGAGAGCCGGCGGCACAUGGGACCCCGAGAGGAGAAGCGCGCCUGCCCCAGUGCGUCCCCAGGCGGGGGAGCCCCGACUCCUGGAGGGACCGCGUCCUGCCCGGCCCGGGAAGUUCAGGGCUGGAGAACCCCUUCCCCGACCCCAUUUCUCUUUUAACAAGAGUAGGGUUUGUAGCUAACCAACGUCCUGACAGCUCAGCUCUGCUUUCCCUUUAAGCAUUAAUAUCAAAGCCCUGCCUGCUACCGGUGAAGCCCCGACCCGGGAGGGCCCGAAAGUCCCUUCAGGGAGAGGCCGCACUGGGCCUGCUCACCCAGGGGCUGCCCCUGCAGACUCUCCCGAGGGGCCCAGGGAUAUUCCUCGCGCCGCGAGUGGACGCUUCCAUCCACCCCAUGGGGAGGGCCUCUGCGCGUGGCUACUCUGAGCCCUCUGGAAUGCCGAGAUAGUUGCAUAAUUUCAGAAACCACGGCAUGGAGACGGAAUGAUGCAGACUCCUAUCCGCGAGAUACCUGCUGUAAUUUCGCUGUGGUUCGUGAGGACGCGUCCUGGGCUGCCCUGAGAAGCCUACGUCUCCCCUUCGAGGCCCGGGAAGACCUCCAACCCCGCUGACAAUGCUGGGCCCUCAGCCAGACCUGCCCUGCGUGCCACGUUCUGUUCUAAGAUCGGGCUGCCGAGCUGUGGCCUGGAGGAAACCUGGCAGGUGUCACCAGAGCUUUGGGGAGGGUGAGGCCCUGUCGGGGAAGCCCAGUGGGAGUCAUGAAGGAGGGAACACGUGUGGAGCCCUUGUAGGGGGAGGGGCAGCCCUGCAGAGAUCUAAGAAAAAAUUCCAGAAAAAUGAGCAGCAACCUCCAAGGCCAGGCAUCGGUGCAGGGGACAAGGGGUCGUAGCUGGAGGGGCCUAGGUGAGGCUGCCGGGAAGGGACGAUGUGGUUGGUGGAGUGCACAGGCAGGGACCUCACUGGACUUUCCUGUCUGCUCAGCAUGGACAGGCAGCCCAGGAGAAGGCAGCACGUGGCCGGGUGCAGGGACGUACCACCCCCACUUCCCCAGGGGAGCUGGGGUCAGACGAGUCCCAGGCACUCCAUCCUCUGCAGCAAGUCAGGUUGUGAUUUACUAGGGGGUGGUGAAUAUAAUGGAGAGACUUCUGGGGAGGAAUUCCUGGCUCCCGCGUGGACUUGCAGAGCUCAACAGGCAGCCACGUGGCUGAGUGUCCAGCAAACAUCACAUAAGGCUUUGGGUCCUGCAGGUGGGGCUGCCAUGAGCAGCAAGCUCAGUCCAGAAGAACAGUUCCUCUCCAGGAUCCACUUCCUGCGCACUUUUAUGUGCAGUGUAGCUGGAGCAGAGCUCCCCGGAAUUCCACAGGCAACUGAGAACGGAGAGGGAUGCAGGCCAGCCAGGGAUCCAGCGUCUUCCCCAUCGUCACUCUCCAUGGCCUCCGUCUACACACAGUGUUCGUCUGCACAGCUUGUCAGCGCGUUAUCAUGACUUCUAUUUGGCACCGGCCCGUCUGUCCACUGUCCUGGCUUGUUCCAAGCGCUGCCUUCUCCAACUGGGGUCCUGGCUGCAGAGCUGUCUGCUCCCCACGUUGGGCAACUCCAGCCAAGAUUCCUACACCCAAAUGUGACCGUGUUGCUCACGAAGAAGGCUCAGCUUUGCGUGUGCCCAGCCGUGUGCACAGCUCGUCCCAACUCCUGCGGGUGGCACCUGCCUCUCCCACCUCCAGUCUUUCCCCUGUGAUGAGCAGAUGACCACCGCCCUCCAGGGUCAGCGUUUGGCUGUUUGUGUGCCUGCCCACCCGCCUCCCUGUGCCUGGGCCUGCCCUGUGCCUGCACACAGGAGUGGCUCAUGGCGUUUGCCCUACACGGAUGGGCUGUCCUGGGAGCUACUGGACAGUCACCUUGGUGGGAAUGCCAGAGGCAUGGGCAUUAGGUCCCCCCGGCCAGCCUCCGUUGCCACAUGGGCUAUUUUUGUCCAUCGCGUGGGACAACCUAGUAUUGGGGGAAAACUCAGUCCACUCUAAAGAAGCAUCGGCGUUUUGGAUGGACGAAUGCUGCUUCAUGCGACUCCAUGUCAAUGGACUAUUUUAUUCAACUCGGGUAUUUAUGAGUGUCUCCUCUGUGCCAGCCACGUGUGAAAGAAGAACUCCAAGUUACUGGACACCAGGACAAACCAGGUAGAUCACUGCAUCCGGUUCCUCCUCUUUCUGCCGACUCUCCCGGGCAACCGUUCUGAUUCCUGGCAUGGAGUUGGGGGCGAGCUCAUCAGUACCCAGAGCGCCUGGUGUGCAGCCAAAGGCCCCCAUUUUAUUAGUCGGUGUGUUCAGUAUCACGCUCAAGACAAGGGCCAACCUAUUACUUCACACACCUCAAAUACAAAAAGUGCCUGGGAACGUCGAUGAGGUAUUAAAGGAAACCACUGGUCUUGUCAGUCAUGUACACACAGAAAAAAAAACCAGUCAUUUUUAUUUUUAUUUUUUGAGACAGAGUUUCGCUCUUGUUGCCCAGGCUGGAGUGCAAUGGUGCAAUUUCAGCUCACUGCAAUCUCUGCCACCCGGAUUCAAGCAAUUCUCCUGUCUCAGCCUCCCGAGUAGCUGGAAUUGCAGACACCCAUCACCACGCCCAGCUAAUUUUAUGUAUUUUUAGUAGAGAUGGGGUUUCACCAUGUUGGUCAGGCUGGUCUUGAACUCCUGACCUCAGGUGAUCCACCCACGUCAGGCUCCCAAAGUGCUGAGAUUACAGGCAUGAACCACUGUGCCCAGCCGAAAACAACCAAGAAUUUUUUAACAAUAAAAUGACCAGCAAGUAAACUUGAAACAAAAAUGGACAAAUAUCUAAAAUAUUUUUAAAUGUAUGUAUUUUAAUUGGCAAAUAAUACUUGUAUAUAUUGUUUACAACUUGUUUUAAAGUAUGAAUACAUUGUGGAAUGGCUAAAUCAAGUUAAUUAACAUGCAUUAACUCACAUACUUUUUGUUUUUUGGUGUGGUGAGGACACUUAACAUCUACUCUCUUAGCAAUUUUCCAGUCACCAUGUCCUACUAUAGAUCCCUAGAACAUAUUCCUCCAAUGUAACUGAAAUGUAUCCCUUGACCAACAUCACUGCCCGGCCCCAGCCCCAGGUAAACACCAUUCUACCCUCUGCUUCUGUGAGUUCAGCUUUUCUAGAUUUCACCUGUGAGUGAGAUUGUGCAGCAUUUGUCUUUCUGUGCCUGGGUUUUUUCACAUAAUGCCCUUCUGGUUCAUCUAUAUUGUCAUAUAUGGUAGCAUUGUCUUCCUUUGUAAGGCUGACUGGUAUACCAUUGCGUAUAUACACCACAUUGUUUACCUAAAAUAUUUUUUAAUACAAUCGCUGAAAACUGCCACAUAACUUGUAUAACUGCUGUAAGGCUUGGUUUUCAGCCAUAAGAUGGGAAGAGAAGUAACAUCUACCUUGCAGGAUGACUGCAAGCUGUAAAAUGCCACAAAGCGCAGGGGAGCCCAGAACCGCCGCAGCAGGACAGGUCCUCUGGAAGCAGACAGACCUGCCUUGUUACUUUAGCCAUCCAGAGUCCAGUUUAGCCAGUGAUGAAAUGAGUACAAAAGAACACCUUUCUUGUAGGAUUGCAAAAUGAUGUCUUCAUCCAUUCUGUGCUGCUAUAGCAGACUCCUGCACACUGGGUAACUGACAGCUUACAGAAGCUUGUUGGCUUAUGGUUCUGGAGGCUGGGAAGUCCAACCUCAAGGGGCUGCAUCUGGUGAGGGCUUUCUUGUUGCAUCAUCACAUCGCAGAAUAGCAGAAGGGCAAGGAGAGAGAGAGAAAAGAGUGCUGAACCCACCCUUUGAUAAGAAGCCCACUCCCAUGAUAAUAGCACCAGCCCAUUCAGGAGGGCAAAGCCCUCGUGGCUGCAUCGCCUCUCAAAGGUUCCACCUCUCAAGAUCAUCACAAUGACAAUCAAACUUCAUGAAUUUUGGAGGGGACAAUUAUUCAAACCAGAACAGAGGGGGAUGGCAAAUGUUCUGAAAACAAGCCUAGAAAUUGAUCUUAGAAAUGGUGCAAAAGUAGAUUUCCCCUUCUGUCUUUACCUGUGAUGGUCUAACCCCAAAAGCCUCCCAGAACAGAACUUGUGAGCACAAGAUAGAAACAACAAACUUGAUGCAGAGCUGAGCUCACAAGGAGGUCAGGGAUGUGACAGGAACCAGAGACAAACAGAAGGCUGAAAACCAGGUCUUAAAGUGUGAGAGCCAAAGGGCAGCAGCCCAGGAGAGUGUUCGUCUGGAGCCCCGGGGUUUAAGUCUCCACACUCACAUGGGAAAGGAGACGAGGCCUCCCUGGAUCCACGUGAAUCAGGAACUGGAACAAGGGCACUCAAAGGGCUACGCCAUCAGGAGAGAUGUGAAUGAGUGUGCCCACAGGAACAGGAAGACAACAGGAUGGUUCUGUGUUUGCCUGCCUGUUGUGGUUCUGUGAGACAGAAACAGUUUUGAUGACAAUUGAUAAUCAGGACUCAGAGCCUUGUUAGACUUCAGGUAUUGAAUUUUUUUUUGAGACAGGGUCUAGCUGUGUUGCCCAGGCUGGUCUUGAACUCCUGGGCCCAAGUGAUCCUCCUACCUUGGCCUCCCAAAGUGCUGGGAUUACAGGCAUGAGCUACCGUGCCCAGCCUAGGUAUCGAAUUUUCACAGGUUUCACAGUCCAGGCCCUACCACCCCUGCAGCAAAUAACUUGAUAUAAAACCUGGGCCCAGGCUAGUAAUACCCUUGAAGCCCAUGACAGAAGCAGGCACAGUGAUAGAAGCAAAAUCACGUAGACAUUAUCAAUCUAGCCCCCUCCAAUUCCUACCCAUAAAGCCCACUGAAGAUGAAUUUACAAUCAUAAAGUACAAAACAUGCCAAGAAAGAACCACAUGAGGGAAGUCAGCAGAUGUGUGAACAGCAGGAACGGACUCCGCCACCAAAGGCCUUCAAAAGGUGAAUCAAGCAAAAAAGAGAACAUUAAUUAAACAUGUUUAACAUGGGUAAGAAUUACAGGAAUAAAAGAAGUAAAUGAACAAGAAUACGAUUGCAAGGGAGUGGUAGAAGAAUAGGCAGUUUUGAAGAACUAAAUGGAAUAUCUAGAAUGAAAAACCAUGCUUGCUAAAAUUAACUCAAUGAGUGAGUUUAAAAAGCAAUUUAGACCCAGCUGAGAGCUGAAUUUGUGGUAUAUGCAGAAAUUACUUCUGAUGCGAGGCAGAGCAUGAUGACAGAAUGAGGAGAUCCCAAACAUCUAUGAGAGUUCCAUUCUGAAUGAUUAGAAGAAUGAGGAAGCAACAGUAUUUAAAAAGAUAAUCACUAAGAAAGUUCUAUACUUGAUGAAAAAUGUGAAUCCUAAGAUUCAGGAACAGUGUGAGACUUCAGCUGGGGAAAAAAGAUGAAACUACACUUCUACAUUUAGGAGUAAAACUACAGAAUACAAAAGACAAAAAAAUUUUAAAGUGAAAAAUAAAACCACUCAGAUUACAUCAAAAGCAGUUAUCAUGAAAGCAGCCUAUCAAUUACAAUGAUAAAAGCCAAGCAAUAGUCAAAUAUCGAUUUUUUUCAAAGUCACAAGAUAAAAUAAGUAGUAACAUAGGAUUCUGUACAUAGCAUUAUUUGUUACCUAUUGGGGCAUAACAAAAUUCCCCAAAACUUUGCAGCUUAAAAAACAUUCAGUAUUUCACCAUUGCCAUGAGUCAGGAAUCCAGGCGUGGCUUGAGUCCUCUGCAUAUUGGCUUCUCACCAGACUGCAAUCAGGACAAUAGCACAGUAUCUGUGGUCUCAUCUGAAGGCUUGCCUGAGGAAGUCUGCAUCCAAGCUUACUCUUCGUUGGCUGUUGGGCAGAGGCACCCUCAGCUCCCAGCCAUGUAGGCUUUCCCAUGGUGCAGCUUCUAUCAACAAAGCACGCCAGACAAGAGGACAACACACAGUCUUCUAGGAAGAAGAAAGCCACAAUCUUUUUUUAAAAAGCAAAGCAAUAUUUAUGUAAUUGCCACUUGGUUUGAGAAGUAGAACACUGUGUCAAAAACCCCUCCAAAGCCCCCGCCAGUAACUGCCCUCCUCCUUCUCCCCAGUGCAACCACUGCCCUCACUUCUGUCUUUUUUUCAACUUUUAAAAAUUGUGGUAAAAUGCAUAUAACUUAAAAUUACAACCUUAAUCAUUUUAAGUGUACAGUUUGGUGGUGGUAAAUACACUCGUGAUGUGCAACCAUCACCACCAUGCAUCUGUAUAGAACUCUUUCCAUCUUGUAAAACUGAAACUCUGUCUCCAUUAAACAAUAAUUCAUCAUUUCCCUUCCCCUGGCCCUAGUACCCACCAUUCCACUUUCUGUUUCUAUAAUUUUGACUACUCUAACUACCUCAUAUAAGUGGAAUUCUGUGGUAGUUGUAUUUUUAGCAACUGGCUUAUUUCGCUUGGUGCAGUGUCCUCAAGAUUCAUCCAUGUUGCAGCCUGUGUCAGAAUCUCAUCCCUUUUUAAGGCUAAAUAGUAUCCCAUUGUUCAUACCACGUUCUGCUUAUUCAUUUAUCCAUCAGUGGGCACUUGGGUUGUGAUAUGGUUUGGCUGUGUCCCCACCCAAAUCUCAUCUUGAAUUGUGGCUCCCACAAUUCCCACAUGUUGUGGGAGGGACCCAGUGGGAAGUAAUUGAAUCAUGGGGGCAGGUCUUUCCCAUGCUGUUCUCGUGGUGGUGGAUAAGUCUCACGAGAUCUGAUGGUUUUAUAAAGGGGAGUUUUCCUGCACAAGUUCUCUUCUCUUGUCUGCCGCCAUGUGAUAUGUGCACUUCACCUUCUGCCAUGAUUGUGAGGUCUCCCCAGCCACGUGAAACUGUGAGUCCAUUAAACCUCUUUUUCCUUAUAAA